rnacentral:lncRNA from 1 species
UCGGGCCGGAGAGAGGCCUGGUAGGCACAGCCGCUGAGGCUCCAUCGGCUCCGAGCAGGGGCUCCAGUCUGGAUCAAAGCACCGAGGUUCUGGCCCUCCGACCCGCGCCCUGCGCCCUCCCAGCGCCCGGGCCGACGGAAUGGCCAUUAAGAAGUAGAUGCCCAGAUGAAAUGGUGAUGAAACAGUCCAUUUGUCUUAAAGUAAGAUGCAGCUGUGGCUUUUCAACCAGUUUAGAACAAAGGUAUAUGUGUUUUUCUCAGAAAAGAAUUCCACAAGGUUAA